GCGGGGGUGCCCGAGCUUGGUCAAAGGGGGCGGUUGAGGUCCCGUUGGCGUAGGCCUGCGUGGGUUCAAAUCCCACCCCCGCACCA
rnacentral:tRNA from 1 species